AUAUAUAUAUAUAAAUAUAUAAUAUAUAUUUGCGCUGCCAUGACUAAUUAGCUCUGCAUAUUUUAUUUAGCAUCAAGACUUGUUGUAAAUGUAGAAUACAGAAUCCCAAUCACAGUACUGGGCUACAACAACAUGAAAGUCAGGAUUUUCGACUUCCUGCUUGGGGGCGAAUAGUUCUGCUGAACAAACGAGCGUGUAAUGAGAAAGCCGCUUUCUGGAUUUCACACCCACGCUCUCACGCUGCUUCUAUUUCUCACACACGCACAGAUUGGCUGGUAGUCGACUCGACGCUAUGACACGCAAUUAUAACAUUAUCUCUAGCGACAGUCCAGGCAGCUGGUUAAUGAGGUGCUGGUGUGUGAUGACUGAGAACUUAAGGCUGGUCCAGAGAACUGGCGAGCUCAUUUCCUCCUUCACGUACUUGAAAAGAGAAGGGUGAACGUGAGGAAUGCCUCGAGGAAGCACAAGGACGGUGCAGCAAGUAAACACAUUGGGGCGUGGUGUUCUAGGAAAACAGUCAAUAAUCUGCCAUGGUGUGAUGCAGCCCGACAGAAAAGUAUGUACUACUUCAGUCUUCAUGUACUCAAGUACUUUGUACCUCUUGUACCAGAGCAAUAUGCCGAUUUGGAAUCAUUAAACAACAACACGGCAUACUUUUUAAUCUGGCCAUCAUCACAUUGAAUACCGUGGAAUGUCUUCGAAACAAGUUCCUGUUACUCUUUCUCUCAAAGUUAAUAAGACCAAACCGUGCAGCUUCUUAGUAUGUUACUGAAAAAUCUGACAACAUAUCGUUGUCCGUACUGAAGGACUUUCCCACGGCGGAAAACGUAAAGUCACAGCUUUUACUUCUGACUGUUACAAAGCGCUGACACUGGAGACUCCUUCCAUAAAUGUUACAUGAACAUCAACGAUUACGUUACGUACGUACAUCAUCCGCCGUACACGUCACCGUGUGCGUUGAUAUCAUCAUCACAGAGGUGUAUUAGGACGAGUGCAUUAAUAGAACCCUUGCAAUGGGAACUGCUGCUGUUCUACAAAAUGAAUCAACACCUUCCGACCAAUCGGAACUGAUCGGCGCUGUGGUAUGAGGCAAAAACAUCAUGUGUUUACUACGCAGGGUAUGAAUCACGAUAUUUUGUUUAAUUAAAGUGCCAAUAAAUGACAAAUCGAUUUUUGUACCACUUUGUACGCAAUAAUAGAGUUUAAAAUUUUUAUUUUAUUAUAUAUAUUUUUUAAAAACACAGCAAUCUUAUGAUAUUCAAAAAAAAUAAUAUUGUCGUAUCACCCAGCACUGUGAGGGACCUAGCACCUGCCUGUCUGCUAAUGUAAUGCCUUUAACCAAUGAUGAGCUCACCUGACUCAUCAAACAGCGAACGUUCAUUAAUGCAAUCGACUAAAACUUUCAGAUCUCUUCAACAGCUUAAAAACCUAGCGUAGGUGGCAUUAGGCAUGCUUUGACUGAUAUGCUCCAGUGAGUGCACCACAUCCUGCUCACUCUUUCCAACUAAGCCCCAAAACUACACUGACUCAUUCAUACCUGCUUUAUAAUAAAUAAAAAUCAGAGACAUUCCAGAGCUGUGCAAGAUGACGCUCAGUAACACGACACACUCGGCACACCUUUCGGUAUCUCCUAUAAUCGGCAUGAUUUAUUUUUGGAAAGCUUUUGUCAUAACAAUUGGUGUGACAAUAUCACGCAGACCAAAACCAAGGCGCAGCUUCUUUCCUUUGUUCGUGUCUUAGAAUUAAAUGAUAAAUCAGAUCACCGCUCAGUAACCCGGUCUGACCACCUGUCCCACCUUGCAUAGCAGAAAUAGCCAGGCUAAUCAGAUCAGAUUCACAUGCAGGUGUUCACAUGAAGCUCCGGUUGACAAAGCUUUAUAAAUCCCUUUCUGAAUUUAAACCACGAUUAACGGAUCGCACGCUAAAGAUCUCGCCGGUAUCGGCACGUCCGACCGUGAUGUAUUGCUGUCUGAUACUUACUCAUCAUGUGCUUGUUUAAAUCAUUAAAACAUUCAGCAGGGCGUGUAGAGCGGAAACGAUUAUACUAGAGUCACAGUGCUUUCCGUUUAUUCUUCUUCAGUUAGCUCAGGGUUUUAUUUGGUACAUUAAUAGUCAUACUAUUAUCCUAUUAUUAAUAGUCAUACUAAGUCCCUCCAGGAUCUUGCGAUUGAAAAAAAUCUCUCGAAAUUACUGUAGAUUUGGGGCGAAACACGCCACGUGACGUCAUCACCAGAGCCCUCUUCGAUUCACGCGAGUCGAACAUGAGUACAGCUGAAAGGUCUCAUGCAGAACUAUUUUGCACGAUUGCAAUUUUGCCAAUUCAAAUAGUUGUUAGCCAAAAAAAAAAAAAAAACCCACAGAUAAUGCAGCAAUAUCGAGUAAAACCUCAGCCAAAUCCUGUACGGACUAGUCAUAGGAAAAGGGUGGACAAACAGGUUUUUUUUUUUUAUUACUAUUAUUAUUUCUAGCUUCUUACUGGAAAACAACCUGAAAGACUUUCGCACUAAACUUGUCUAAACUUGCACUUCACUGUAGCGCAGUAGUGGUGUGCAGCAGUGAAUUAGUGAGCUGAGCAUGGGUUUUGACAGGAAAUCGAGUCGGUGUCAUUGUCUUUUGUGUGUAAUGCGAGGAGUUAAUGUCAUAAAAUGUUGGCCCGUGACUUGCUGAAAAUGAUCAUGAUGAUUAUUCUUCUUCUUAUUAUUAUUAUUAUCUUAAACAUGGUGUGCUACAGGACGGCUCAGCAAUUAAAGCUUCAAUCUCAGCAGCCUUGGAUGGGUCCUUGAGCACGACCCUUAACUCUUGUGCUGCCACUAUCGUAAAUAAGAGCGUCGGCCGAUUGAGCAAAAUUGUAAUUGCAAAAUGAUCACAUGCUGUAUUAAUGUCUGUAUUAAUGCACUUAACCAGUCAACUAGCACUCCAAACACUACUACAUCGCGUUAGCUACCAGUUUAGCCAGCUCAAAUUAUUACACUUGUUAGCUCUGAGAAUAAAUCAUCUAGCUCAUGUAAUGCAGAACUCCACAAACUCGCAAAAAAAAAAAAAAAAGAGAAAAGACAGAAAACAAAAAGCUUCCAAUACCCCGUCCAUCCCGCAAAUCAGCACAGUAUCACACUUCGAUCAGUAGUAAUGUGCAACCUUAAUGCCUCAACACUCUUUAACCCCCCCCCCC
ensembl:lncRNA